UAUUGAGAUGAGGCGCCAGGCGCUUGACGUAUUUGUAAAUCGAAUUGCUUCACAUCCUGAACUUAAGCAAAGUGAGGACUUGAGGAUCUUCCUUCAGGAGGAUGAAGAGACAAUGGAGAGAGCAAGGUUUCAAGAGACUGGUUUUUUCAAGAAGAAGCCUGCAGAUUUUAUGCAGAUAUUCAAGGAUGUACAAACAAAGGUUAGUGAUGUGGUUUUGGGGAAAGAAAAGCCUGUAGAAGAAUCUAAUCCCGAAUACG
rnacentral:misc_RNA from 1 species